rnacentral:rRNA from 1 species
CAGCCGCCGCGGUAAUACAGAGGAUGCAAGCGUUAUCCGGAAUGAUUGGGCGUAAAGCGUCUGUAGGUGGCUUUUCAAGUCCGCCGUCAAAUCCCAGGGCUCAACCCUGGACAGGCGGUGGAAACUACCAAGCUGGAGUACGGUAGGGGCAGAGGGAAUUUCCGGUGGAGCGAUGAAAUGCGUUGAGAUCGGAAAGAACAACAACGGCGAAAGCACUCUGCUGGGCCGACACUGACACUAAGAGACGAAAGCUAGGGGAGCAAAUGGGAUUAGAUACCCCGGUAGUCCCUGUCUCUUAUAC